CUUGAUCUGAAUCAGUGGGAUACCCCUGAC
rnacentral:rRNA from 1 species